rnacentral:rRNA from 1 species
AUGACUGCUUCGCCCCAGGACAUUUGGAAGAAUUGGUCCAUCCAGAUCCUGGUGCUCUUCAGCCUCGGGUGCCAGAUCACCCUCUUCCUCUGUGCCGGGAUCCGCAGGCGUGGAGGCCACCCUUUUCGGCGGUCCCUGCUCUGGCUGGCGUAUCAGCUAGCUGACUUCAGCGCGACAUUCGCCCUCGGCCACCUCUCCCUCACGGACGCGCCGCGCGAGCACGUGAUCGUCGCGUUUUGGGCGCCCUUCCUUCUCCUGCACCUUGGAGGCCCGGACAACAUCACCGCAUACUCCCUCGAGGACAACACGCUCUGGAUGCGCCACUCGGUGGAGUCCAUCCUUCAGGUGUUGGGAGCCGUGUAUGUUCUCUACGAGCACAUCGCGGACAAGGAGGCCAAGCUCCGGCUUGCCACCAUCUUGAUGCUCGCCAUCGGUGUUAUCAAGUACUGGGAGAGGAUGUGCGCGCUUCGGGGGGGCAAUCUGGACAGCAUCCGAGGCUCCAUCAAGAAGCAACCAGCUGCCAUGCAUGGACAUUUCCACCCUCACGAUGAAGUGUUGGAUGAGGAAUCCCUUGUGCGACGAGCUCACUCGCUCUUUCACAUAUGCAAGCGUGCCAUAGUUGACUAUACGGUGAUGGAAGAUGAUUCACACGGCCAAGACACCACUGAAAUAAUUCUCAAGGUCAAUUUAUGGCAAUUGAUGGAGAUUGAGCUCUCCCUCAUGUAUGACAUGUUGUACACCAAGGCACCUGUCAUCCACACCUGCUUCGGCUACUUGCAGCGUCUAAGCUCGCCAGUCGCCAUUCUCGCCUCACUGCUGCUGUUCAAGUUCAUUGACAUGGACGACCCCCGCCCAGUUGAUGUGGUCAUCACCUAUAUAUUGUAUGGUGGUGCCAUGUUCAUGGAGACGACAUCGCUGGUGAACGCACUGGGCUCCUCUUGGACAUUUGCCUUCCUGAGUACCACGAGAAGGCAAUGGCUUCGAUACACAGCUCUGUGCAAUAAAAGGUGGGACCGGCUUAGGCGUGUUGUUGCAUGCCUUCAUCAUCUUGUCAGGGUAGGAGGAGGUAGCCGAUACAGAUCAAGAAGCUGGACAUAUACCAUGACUCAGUACAACAUGCUGCACUUUUGCUCUGGCUCUGACAGUGCACUCACCAGGCCUCUGCUUGGCAGUUUGGCCAAAGUGGUGGGUCAAGAUGAGCUUUGGAACAAUGAGCAUUACUCAUGGGUUAUUGACAUGCCGGAGUAUGUCCAAAAGUGUAUCUCUGGACAUAUGCAGAAUAUGUACAAUUGUGUCGGUGUGAACUCACUGGGAAUGCUCAAGAACAGGUGGGGUGAGGAACCUCUGGCUCGCAAGGAGUUGCUCAUAAAAGGCAGCAUAUUCAAAGACUCCCUCGGUGUUGAGUUCCAGGAAUGCAUCAUCAUCUGGCACAUUGGCACUGAUGUUUUCCUCGCCAAGAGCAAGGGAGCCAAAGAAGAGGAGGCACAGAGUGAUGUGGAGGCGAUCAAAAUGAUAUCCAACUACAUGAUGUACCUUCUCGUGAAACAACCAGACAUGCUGCCAGGCCUCCCCCAAAACAGGUUGUACCAACUGACCUGUCAAAGUCUCGAGAAACUCAAGACUCGUGGACAUACAAAAAUGAAAAUCGGUGCUAUGCUCAAGAAUCUGUUUAGCCUUAAGGAUGACCCCGAUUCUAUUUCCAGGGUCACGGACAGAGAGGACCUUGCAGAAAAACUAUAUGAUGAGUAUGACGGAAAAGGCUUCAUCUACGAUGCUCCUCGUCUCCCCUAUGUGGUUAAUCUUGUCAAGGAACUGCUAACAAUGGAGGAGAAUUGCACGGUUGACUUGGUACUGAAACUUGUCUUGGACGUGUGGAUGGAUAUUCUUGUCUACGCAGGCAACAAAUGCAGCAGGAAGUUCCAUGCCGAGAAACUCAACAGUGGCGGUGAGUUGACAACCAUCCUGUGGCUUAUGUCAGAGCACUUCUACCACGUUUAUGCGCAGGACCUGAUCAAAGACAGCAAAAAGGAAACUGAUGUAGCAGAAGACACCAGUCCCCAAGAAGAAGAAGAUGAUGAUAACGUGUAG